AUUGAACGCUGGCGGCAGGCCUAACACAUGCAAGUCGAGCGAGAAAGGUCUUCGGACUGAGUACAGCGGCGGACGGGUGAGUAAAGCGUAGGAAUCUACCUGGUAGUGGGGGAUAACUUGGGGAAACUCAAACUAAUACCGCAUACGCCCUACGGGGAAAGCGGGGGACCGUUCGGGCCUCGCGCUAUCAGAUGAGCCUGCGUAGGAUUAGCUAGUUGGUGAGGUAAAGGCUCACCAAGGCGACGAUCCUUAGCUGGUCUGAGAGGAUGAUCAGCCACACUGGGACUGAGACACGGCCCAGACUCCUACGGGAGGCAGCAGUGGGGAAUAUUGCGCAAUGGGCGAAAGCCUGACGCAGCCAUGCCGCGUGUGUGAAGAAGGCC
rnacentral:rRNA from 1 species